AUUGAACGCUGGCGGAAUGCUUUACACAUGCAAGUCGAACGGCAGCACGGACUUCGGUUUGGUGGCGAGUGGCGAACGGGUGAGUAAUGUAUCGGAACGUGUCCAGUCGUGGGGGAUAACGUAGUGAAAAUUACGCUAAUACCGCAUACGAUCUAUGGAUGAAAGCGGGGGAUCGCAAGACCUCGCGCGAUUGGAGCGGCCGAUAUCAGAUUAGGUAGUUGGUGGGGUAAAGGCCCACCAAGCCAACGAUCUGUAGCUGGUCUGAGAGGACGACCAGCCACACUGGAACUGAGACACGGUCCAGACUCCUACGGGAGGCAGCAGUGGGGAAUUUUGGACAAUGGGCGAAAGCCUGAUCCAGCCAUUCCGCGUGCAGGAUGAAGGCCCUCGGGUUGUAAACUGCUUUUGUACAGAACGAAAAGGUUUCUACUAAUACUAGGAGCUCAUGACGGUACUGUAAGAAUAAGCACCGGCUAACUACGUGCCAGCAGCCGCCGUAA
rnacentral:rRNA from 1 species